CCCUAUAACAAUACCAUCCUGCAAGUGCCCAAUAUUUUCUGAUCUCAGAAGCUAAGCACAGUCAGGUCUAGUUAGUACUUGGAUGAGAGACUGCCUUGGAAUACCAUGUGCUGUAGGCU
rnacentral:rRNA from 1 species